UACAGAGGGCGCGAGCGUUGUCCGGAAUCACUGGGCGUAAAGCGCACGUAGGCGGCCUUUUAAGUCAGGGGUGAAAUCCUGGAGCUCAACUCCAGAACUGCCUUUGAUACUGGGAGACUUGAGUCCGGGAGAGGUGAGUGGAACUGCGAGUGUAGAGGUGAAAUUCGUAGAUAUUCGCAAGAACACCAGUGGCGAAGGCGGCUCACUGGCCCGGUACUGACGCUGAGGUGCGAAAGCGUGGGGAGCAAACAGG
rnacentral:rRNA from 1 species